rnacentral:rRNA from 1 species
UACAGAGGGUGCGAGCGUUGUUCGGAAUUAUUGGGCGUAAAGCGCUUGUAGGUGGUUUUUUAAGUCUGCUGUGAAAGCCCCUGGCUCAACCAGGGAAGUGCAGCAGAUACUGGAGAACUUGAGUGCUGGAGAGGGUCGCGGAAUUCCCGGUGUAGAGGUGAAAUUCGUAGAUAUCGGGAGGAACACCAGUGGCGAAGGCGGCGACCUGGACAGACACUGACACUGAGACGCGAAAGCGUGGGGAGCAAACAGG